CAAAACUGAAAUGCUUCAAGCUUUGUAUUUGAAGAAUGAGAGGAUCCAAAGGAAAUCCACUCUGCUUCCAAUUGUGUCUCUGUUAAGACUCGAGGGGAAGCCUGAUGCUGCCCAAAACAAUAUUUCAUUGUAAUUCUUUUCAGGCUAUCAUAAUUUAUGGGAAGGACUACAAGGCAAGUUCAGGGUCAGUAAUCAGAAGAAUACAUGAGUUACCGUCCCAGCUUUUGCCCUUGCUGGCCUUAAUUUAACAUGGCCCAGUCACAUUCUCUCAAGCACUUAACUUUUAACCAUCCACCUUAAAAGAUACAGCAAUUAGUGAUUAAAAAAAAAAAGGAGAGAAAAGCUACAUUCCUGAAACAUCUGGAGGAGAGGCCUCCACUCAAGGAUAUGUGCAGACAGUGGGAUGCCUCAAAUAAGACAGAAAGAAAAAAAUGUGGCUUUGAUUUAUGUAAAAAUAAGCUUUUUAGCAAAACAAAUUUUAUGACAAAGUCUUUCAUAUAAAGAAUCAUAGCAUUUCUUCUAACAUUAAAGUGUGUUUGCCAAGCCUCACAUAGGAAGAGUAGUUAUAAUUUUUCAUAUGUAUUUCCAGUAACUAAUGAAGCAAAGAAGAGAUAUAUCUAAGAACAGGAAGAAACUUAGCUAGUUCAUUAAAUUUCAUUCUCUUCACAUGUAGAAUGUAUUUUUCACUUGUCUAAACUAGAUUUAGAAUUUAGGACUUCCAUACUUUUUCUUCUUUUUUCUUUCGUGUGUGUGUGUUUACUGAACCAUUUUCUACUUACUAUAGCUAUAUUUUGCAAUUUUUUUUUAUAGCAUACUCAUAAUUUUCCAUUAUAAGUUUCAGUUUGGGGAGGUGAAAAAUACCUGUAUAGAGCUAAAAACUCAAAACCUUACUAGAAGUUAGUUGAGUGUUGUAUCUUGAGGCUAUGAAAUUCUAACAUUCAUUUCUGAACUUGCUUAGUCAACUCAUGGAAGCAAUUGAAUAAAAUAAAUCAGACAGGCAUGUGUAGAGAGGAGGAGCUUACUGCACUGCUGAAGUACACAAAAUGACCAACAUACAACAGAGUUGUAACAAUCUCUGCUAUAAACUGUCUUGAAGCAUUUCUCAUUUUUCCUCCAAUCCACCUAGCAAUAUUUCAACUAUCAGGUCUAAGCUUUGUACCAAAACAGGCAAUUAAGCAACUAUUAUAAGUAAUAA
rnacentral:lncRNA from 1 species